UGGCGGGUAGGGUAGGGAGGCUAGCCCUCUUCCGGAGCUCUAACGGGCUACAGGAGUGCCAGCAACCGUCGGGUAAAGCCAUCUCUCCUCUCUCCUGCGCGCCUGGGCGGGAUGAUCCCACGCCGGAGCGGGCGGUCGCGAGGUGCGGGCCCCUCGAAGGAGGGGUUCUGACUCUUGAUUGCCGAACCGGGUGAGGUCCGGGAGGGAGCAACCCUAAGGUGACACGGCCACGCUGCUCCGUCUACGUGCGGGACCGCCCGUGGCGUGAGACUGGGGGAGGUCGGGGUGGUGAACUCCGACGGGUCCGCCA
rnacentral:SRP_RNA from 1 species